rnacentral:rRNA from 1 species
UACGUAGGGUGCGAGCGUUGUCCGGAAUUAUUGGGCGUAAAGGGCUCGUAGGCGGUCUGUCGCGUCGGGAGUGAAAACUCAGGGCUUAACCCUGAGCCUGCUUCCGAUACGGGCAGACUAGAGGUAUGCAGGGGAGACUGGAAUUCCUGGUGUAGCGGUGGAAUGCGCAGAUAUCAGGAGGAACACCGGUGGCGAAGGCGGAUCUCUGGGCCGUAACUGACGCUGAGGAGCGAAAGCAUGGGGAGCGAACAGG